CAAAACUAGUUUAAAUCACCUGCCCCGAUUUCUCGAAGCAAACUUAAGUUUUUACUCAAAUUUCAAACUGAGUUUGACAAUUUGAAAUAGAUGAAGGUUUA